rnacentral:rRNA from 1 species
GAUGAACGCCAGCGGCAGGCUUAAUACAUGCAAGCCGAGGGGGAUCAGCUGGGUAGCAAUACUCGGCUGUGAGACCGGCAAACGGGUGCGGAACACGUACGCAACCUUCCCAAAACUGGUGAAUAGCCCUCCGAAAGGAGGAUUAAUACACCGUAACAUAAUGAGAUGGCAUCAUUUUAUUAUUAUAGCUCCGGCGGUUUUGGAUGGGCGUGCGCCUGAUUAGGUAGUUGGCGGGGUAACGGCCCACCAAGCCCGCGAUCAGUAACUGGUGUGAGAGCACGACCAGUCACACGGGCACUGAGACACGGGCCCGACUCCUACGGGAGGCAGCAGUAAGGAAUAUUGGUCAAUGGACGAAAGUCUGAACCAGCCAUGCCGCGUGAAGGAUGACGGCCCUCUGGGUUGUAAACUUCUUUUAUCUGGGACGAAAAAAGAUCAUUCUUGAUCACUUGACGGUACCAGAGGAAUAAGCACCGGCUAACUCCGUGCCAGCAGCCGCGGUAAGAC